rnacentral:rRNA from 1 species
GAGUUUGAUCGUGGCUCAGGACGAACGCUGGCGGCGUGCUUAACACAUGCAAGUCGAACGGUGACCUCGGAGCUUGCUCCGGGUGAUCAGUGGCGAACGGGUGAGUAACACGUGAGCAACCUGCCCCCGACUCUGGGGAUAACCCCGGGAAAUCGGAGCUAAUACCGGAUACGAGACGCACAGGCAUCUGUUGCGUCUGGAAAGAAUUUCGGUCGGGGAUGGGCUCGCGGCCUAUCAGCUAGUUGGUGGGGGUAGUGGCCUACCAAGGCGAUGACGGGUAGCCGGCCUGAGAGGGCGACCGGCCACACUGGGACUGAGACACGGCCCAGACUCCUACGGGAGGCAGCAGUGGGGAAUAUUGCACAAUGGGCGCAAGCCUGAUGCAGCGACGCCGCGUGAGGGAUGACGGCCUCGGUUGUAACGUACUUCUA